GAUGAACGCUGGCGGCGUGCCUAAUACAUGCAAGUCGAGCGAACAGACGAGGAGCUUGCUCCUCUGACGUUAGCGGCGGACGGGUGAGUAACACGUGGAGAACCUACCUAUAAGACUGGGAUAACUUCGGGAAACCGGAGCUAAUACCGGAUAAUAUAUUGAACCGCAUGGUUCAAUAGUGAAAGACGGUUUUGCUGUCACUUAUAGAUGGUUCCGCGCCGCAUUAGCUAGUUGGUAAGGUAACGGCUUACCAAGGCAACGAUGCGUAGCCGACCUGAGAGGGUGAUCGGCCACACUGGAACUGAGACACGGUCCAGACUCCUACGGGAGGCAGCAGUAGGGACCCUUCCGCAAUGGGCGAAAGCUUGACGGAGCAACGCCGCGUGAGUUAUGAAGGUCUUCGGAUCGUAAAACUCUGUUAUUAGGGAAGAACAAAUGUGUAAGUAACUAUGCACGUCUUGACGGUACCUAAUCAGAAAGCCACGGCUAACUACGUG
rnacentral:rRNA from 1 species